rnacentral:rRNA from 1 species
GUUAUAAGACGAGUCGGGAAAGUUUUUUCGCUAAGAGAUCAGUCUAUGUCCUAUCAGCUAGUUGGUGAGGUAAUGGCUCACCAAGGCUAUGACGGGUAUCUGGUUUGAGAGGAUGAUCAGACACACUGGAACUGAGACACGGUCCAGACUCCUACGGGAGGCAGCAGUGAGGAAUAUUGCACAAUGGAGGAAACUCUGAUGCAGCAACGCCGCGUGGAGGAUGACGCAUUUCGGUGUGUAAACUCCUUUUAAGAGGGAAGAUAAUGACGGUACCUCUUGAAUAAGCACCGGCUAACUCCGUGCCAGCAGCCGCGGUAAUACGGAGGGUGCAAGCGUUACUCGGAAUCACUGGGCGUAAAGGGUGCGUAGGCUGGCUUCUAAGUCAGAUGUGAAAUCCAACGGCUUAACCAUUGAACUGCAUUUGAAACUGGGAGCCUAGAGUUCAGAAGGGGCAGAUGGAAUUAGUGGUGUAGGGGUAAAAUCCGUAGAUAUCACUAGGAAUAUCAAAAGCGA